AUCGUCAUCAGUCAAUGUCAACUAUAAUUUUAAAUUGACAAAAUAAACGCAUUAACUCACAAUAAAAUCAAUCUAAAGUAAAACAGAAAAGCUUCCUCCAAACGUGUUUAAUGUUACUUUGAAAUUGUUAGUUUUCAGAAAGGUUUGUCUUCAAAAUAUAAAAUAUUUUUUCCCUUUUCAAAUGGCUUAGUACUAUUAGAAGAAACAGAAAACUAUAUUUAAAAUAUAAUCUCAUAAAAAGUAAUUAAUUCAAACGCAAGUGUCCAUUAAUAUGUGAGCUGCAAAACACUGUGACAUGACCGAUUUACAUAUUAAUUGUACAUGCCAAAUCGGAUGAAGGUUUCAGAGAAAGACUUGUCCGUGGAAAAAACCAACGCUUCCUGACAUCCAAUCAUUCAAGUGACAAGAGCUUGAUAGCUGUAUCAACGAGCAUGAAUUCACUACCAGUAUGGACCUUUGACACGCAGAGUCUAAGACAAAUUUCUAUAAAAGACAAUAGUCUUGUAACAUUCACGUUAGUCGUUUUCAUUAUUGCGCUGGGCCUUUAUUUCAUUUUAAACAAUUGGAAAGGAUUAUCAGGUCCUGAGGAAGUUGAUCUUGGAACAGUGAGAAUAAUCCAACGAACAUAUCGCACAAAUAACCGCAGAAGGACGGACUGACAACUUAUUAUAGUUAUUAUUAAAUAACGAUAUUAAUAAAUAAAGUGCAACAUGAAAUUCAAGAACAUUUAUAUUAAAGUAUACAAUUAAGAAGUUUUUUGAAAUAAAGUCAAUUAAAUAAAUUCUACAGUUGG